AACGAACGCUGGCGGCAGGCCUAACACGUGCAAGUCGAGCGAGGUAGCAAUACCUAGCGGCGGACGGGUGAGUAACGCGUGGGAACGUACCCUUUGCUACGGAAUAGCCCCGGGAAACUGGGAGUAAUACCGUAUGUGCCCUUCGGGGGAAAGAUUUAUCGGCAAAGGAUCGGCCCGCGUUGGAUUAGGUAGUUGGUGGGGUAAUGGCCUACCAAGCCGACGAUCCAUAGCUGGUUUGAGAGGAUGAUCAGCCACACUGGGACUGAGACACGGCCCAGACUCCUACGGGAGGCAGCAGUGGGGAAUCUUAGACAAUGGGCGCAAGCCUGAUCUAGCCAUGCCGCGUGAGUGAUGAAGGCCUUAGGGUCGUAAAGUUCUUUUAGUGGGGAAGAAGGGCAACUUGACGGUACCCACAGAAAAAGCACCGGCUAACUCCGUGCCAGCAGCCGCGGU
rnacentral:rRNA from 1 species